rnacentral:siRNA from 1 species
UUGAGAUCUUUUGCAGAUGUG